rnacentral:lncRNA from 1 species
CUGGAGUCUUGGACAUCAGCUGGUGGCUGGCGGUAGAUGGUCAUGCCCUCCUUCUUCCCCAACUCCACCUGGUGGUUUCUGAACCUGAGCCCUUGGCACAGUGAUGNCAUUUCCAGUAUGAAUGGUAAUAUUUUAUCUUCUUGAUGCCCAUAUGAUCAGAACCUCAUCAUAAUUCUCCUCAUAGCUUUAAUCAACCCAAAUGAUUUUUAAUCCAUGACCCCAAGGCUGUUUGUUGGAAGCUUUUCAGAGUCUUAGCAAGCCCUUGUAGCAAGCAUGAAAAAAAUAAAUGCAAUUACAGGUGCCCAUCAUAACAUGACCAAAAGCAAUAUUAUGACAUUCAGCAAGCCAGAAAUAAUAUCAUACAUCUUCUUUCUCAUUAUAAGAAAAUAUGCCCCCUUCAUGGAUUCUUUUUUUAUUGCAAAGGAAAAGGAAAUAAAAAGAAAAUUCACAAAUAGAGUUGAAAAUACAAAUGAGAAAUUUUGCCUUGGCUAAGGCCAUACACAUCAGACUUUUCUCAUUUUUAGCUGCUAACAUCUUUUUAAAUGAAGAGAUUAAAUUGAUACAGGAGAUGAAGGUAUUUUAGAAGGAUGGUUUAAAUGCCCAUUUAUCAUAAUCACAUUCUUUCUAACAACGUAAAAUAAGCUUCUGUAAAAACGAAGCGAAUGUAAGAUAGGUGUCAAAUCCUUGCAUCUAGUUUGAUGAGGAACUAGGUAUUUUCCUAAUUUCAAAGAAUUCUUCCCAAUCAUGAAUUCCAAUGAUAAAAAUGAUCAUCCUGGUAUGGUGAAAUCUGGCGGACACCAAACAAAUCAAGAGGGCAAAGCAAGUAUCACCAAUAUCGGGAUAAGCUGACCUCUUGUGCCUCCUGACAGGCCGUGCUGAGAAGAAUGUGACCUCAUUUCAGCAGGAACAAUAACAAACCUCAAAUUACAGGUUACUCUACAAAAUAAUUGGCCUGUGCUUUUCGAGUCAAAAAGGUAAAGGAAUUGUUUGAUGGAAGGAAGCUUAAAAAGACGUAAGAAUGGAAUAUCAUCUGUGAUUUGAAUUGCACCCUAGACUAGAGGGGAGAUAAAUAGGUACAGAGGGCUUUAUUACACAGUAGAUGAGAUUUGGAUAGGAACUUAAAAAUUAGGCCUCUGUGGGUGUUUGUGUGUGUGUGUGUGUGUGUGUGUAUACAUUUUUUUUUUUUUGUUGGACUGAAGAUUGAACCCAGGGCCUUAGGCAUGCUAGGAAUGUAUUCUACCACUGAGCUGCAUCCCCAGUCUUAGAUAAAGUAUUUUAAUAAUGUCAUAUUUUCUGAAUUUUGUGAUAAUAGGGUAGAUAAUUUUUUUUUAAAAUCUUGUUCUUAGGGAAUCUAUCCUAAAGUAGUUAGGGUUAAGGGAAAAUUGUCUCAAAGAUUCAGAAAAAAAAAGUGUGUGUUUGAAUAUGAGUGUGGUCGCGGGCGUACACGCAUGCUCACACACACUCACACACAGAGUGGAAGAAUUGGGGGAGUCUUCCUGGGAAAAGGAAUACUUAUUAAAAUAGUUCCCAAAAGACAAUAUAAGAGCUAGCAGAGAGGCUGGGGAAUGGUGUUCUAGGUAGAUGAACCAGUAGUAGAAACAGCAAGAAGUCCAUAGGGGUGUCCCAUGAAGACAUGGAACUGGGGAACAGAGGCCAGCAAAAGUUGACACUAGAGAGGCAGAGCAGGGUCAGAGGGCCUGUUGAAUCUCUUAUGCUGAGAGGCAGUGUGUGUGUGUGUGUGUGUGUGGCUUCUCAAGUGUUUUAGGCAGAAAGUGACAUGGUGUCAUCUUGGACUCCACACAUUAUGCUGGCAAAGUAGGUAGGAAUGGGUGGAGGGACCAAGGUUGGAGUGUGGAGGCAGCCCUACACCCACUGCCCGGUCUCCUCUACAUAAAGUGCUUCCUGCCAACAGUGGGACAGGAACACAGGGCACUUCACGAUUCUUUUAUCGGAGGUGUGUUUUAUUACUGCACCUGGAAGAGCCGCCCAAGGUCCUUCCUGUUACAGUCUGUCUCAUCCUGCUUUUUCCUGAAACCACAGCUCCCACUAUCAGAGGACGUCAGGAUUGCCUAGCUUUGCUAAGUCACGCUCAGAUCACCUUGGCAACCCUCACAAGUACCCCAACAUGACUUUCCUCUUGCCAGGAUGUCCUCUAGAUUAUAGGGGGCAUUUUUAUGAGGUGUGCCAUUAGCUUAAUAUCCUAUUUUUAUUUUUGGAAACUCAUUGCCAUUCCCAAACUUUCUUAAUCAUGCCCCAUUCAGUUGACCUCAGUUCCUUCCUCUUUUUGAUGAAUCCAAAUAAAUCCCAUCAUUAGCAAAUUCCAUUUUUACAGGCAGGGGGCNAGAUAUUCACCAGAUUAAUACAUACAUAUUGAAUCCUUCUGUUGUAUAAGAGCAGUAAACACUACACACGGAUCUCUCUCCUUAGGAGCUUACUUGGGUGUGGCUGAGAGAUUUUAAAUGCAUGCUUGGAGAGAUAAAUAGAUACUCACCAACCAGGAAAAGUAUCACAAAGGAGAGCAGGGGGCAAUUCGAUUACAUUUCAGUGGGGUUGAGUUUGUCCCUGAGGAGGUGGGGCUUGAGCUGAGAUCAGGGAAUGAGCAGGGGAAGCAGGAUGCAGCAGACCAAUUCUCUAAAAACAUGUGAAUCAGUUGGACAGGACCAUGGGCCAUGGUGGGUGGAGGUGUGGGGGGGUACUAUGCAAUCAAGAUCUAUACUUAGAUUUUUUUUUGGUUUUAAAUUGUUAUUGUUCUUCGCACUGGUUUUAUUAGAUGCUAACUGGUUUAGGAAAACCAGUUUUAUCAUGAUUUUAACUAGUUUUAUCUCUUUUAUCACAAUUUUAAGAAGAUAUUUUCUAAGCUUGCUUGUAUGAUAGGUAGAUAUUUUGCCCAUCAAUUCUUGGGAAGCACCUUGCUCUGAGACUUCCAGUGAGUAAUCAGUAGGGUUUAGCUGAUGACUCUCUGUGUUUGAUGGAGACACAUUUAGUGACUUACUUGAGCACACUCUUGAGACCCUGUUGGAAAUUUCCAUUGACAACCAGUAUAUUACCCUGAUAUUAGAAUUAAUUAGAAUCUAAUAAAGCUGGGUCAUCAAUUAACCACGGAAUUUUUAAAGUAAUCUAUCCUCAGGACAAAAUGUGUAAAUCUCACUAAGAAUUUUCUACUACUAGACAAUAAACACACAAUAACCAUCUUGGAAGAAAUGACCCGAAGUUGGCACUUCCUUGAAUUGGUGAAUUCUAUCAGUCUUCCUCAAAUGGUGACCACUCUUGAAUCACAUUCCCAAUUUUUACCACACCCAAAUAUGUGUUUAAUUAAAUGCAGUUAUACUUUAUUUAAAUCAAAUUGCCUCUUAAAAGCUUAAAUGUUGACUUUGUGCUAAUGUUAGCUUUGUGCUAAAAGCUUCGAUAUCUGAAACUAAGAAGCUUGAUAUAUAUGCAUAUUUUAAAUAGGAAUUGCCAAUAGGAAGUACUUUGUAUUAAUAAAAAAGUAGUUUUAGCAUUAAUAAAAAGUACUUUCUGCUAGUAGGGGCUAUUAUAACAGUACCCAGUAGACCUCACAGAUUAAUCCUAUGCCCAACUCUUCAAAAAAAAUGUCUUUCAAUCUGGGUCCUGACAGAGAUAGUCAAUUGUCUUCUAAUACUUUAAAGUACUUCCCAUAGAGCCCAACAUCCCUUGUAGGUAGAAGAGGCUGUGAAACAAGUUCUGGACAUUAGGUGAUGAGCAAAGCAGGGUAAUUCACAUCUGGGUCCCUGAUAGGACCUUCUGAGUUUGGCUUCUUUUUCUUAACAUAAUGUUCUCAAAUUGCAUCCAUUAUUCUGCAAAUGACAUCAUUUCAUUUUACUUUAUGGCUGAAUAAAACCAUAUUGUGUAUAUAUACCACAG